UACGUAAGGGGCAAGCGUUGUUCGGAUUUACUGGGCGUAAAGGGCGCGUAGGCGGCGCGUAAAGGCGGACAUGAAAUCAUUAGGCUCAACCUAAUGGCUGUGUCCGAUAAUUACGUGCUUGGAGUGCGGGAGAGGUAGCCGGAAUUCUCGGUGUAGCGGUGAAAUGCGUAGAUAUCGAGAGGAACACCGGUGACGAAGGUGGGUUGCUGGACCGACUCUGACGCUGAGGCGCGAAAGCUAGGGGAGCAAACGGG
rnacentral:rRNA from 1 species